GACGAACGCUGGCGGCGUUCUUAACACAUGCAAGUCGAACGGAAAGGCCCUGCUUGCCGGGUACUCGAGUGGCGAACGGGUGAGUAACACGUGGGUGAUCUGCCCUGCACUUCGGGAUAAGCCUGGGAAACUGGGUCUAAUACCGGAUAGGAGCCAUUUUUAGUGUGAUGGUUGGAAAGUUUUUUCGGUGUAGGAUGAGCUCGCGGCCUAUCAGCUUGUUGGUGGGGUAAUGGCCUACCAAGGCGGCGACGGGUAGCCGGCCUGAGAGGGUGGACGGCCACAUUGGGACUGAGAUACGGCCCAGACUCCUACGGGAGGCAGCAGUGGGGAAUAUUGCACAAUGGGCGCAAGCCUGAUGCAGCGACGCCGCGUGGGGGAUGACGGCCUUCGGGUUGUAAACUCCUUUCGCUAGGGACGAAGCUUUUUGUGACGGUACCUAGAUAAGAAGCACCGGCUAACUACGUG
rnacentral:rRNA from 1 species